GCGGAGCCAGAGGGGUGGCUUGGGGUGGCCCACGCCACCCCUGAGAUUCGAUUGGCCACCCCAGGUGCCACCCCAAAAUCCUACUCUACGAUUGGCCAUUAACGUGGUCAAAGGCGGAACCUUUGUUGACGCACUUUGCUGCCUUUAAAUCAGCGCGGGAGCUUUGACAGUCAGACACCAGAACUCAGAAAUAUUCAGACAAGGGUGCUGGAGACACUUCAGAUCCUUAUAAGGGUCCAUCAUCAUCAUCUUGUCUCACUGGUUGUCCACAUGCAGCUACAAACCCAACCCCUGGACCUCAUGAUAUCUCCCAAUCAAGGGCAGCAGAUCCAACUCAACCUGUGCUGAGGAUGUUUCCCAAGACCACACAAGGUCAGAAAAGAAGGGCAUUCAACCCGCAGUGGUACAGCAAGUAUUCUUGGUUAGAGUACUCUGUUAGCAAAGAUUCAGCUUACUGUUAUGCAUGUAGACAUUUCUCACUCCCUUCAGUGUCAGAAUCAGUAUUUACGUCCCAGGCAGGUUUUUCACAUUGGAAGAAAGCGCUGUAUAAAGAUGGAGGCCUUACAUUGCAUGACCGGUCUGACAGUCACGUUAAUGCAAUGUUUGC